rnacentral:lncRNA from 1 species
AGAUGUCAUACCUAUAUACUAGAUAAUGGUUAAAUUGCUGAGAAUUAAAAAUAAAUACAAUAUGAAAACUCAGUAUCAAUCAGAUUAAAAGUAUAUAACUAAAAUAUUAAACGUUUCAAGAUAAGAGUAAUGAAAUCGUUUCCGGUGGCCGGUGAGCACUCGCCACCGGUCGCCACCCCCUUUUGUUUUUUCUGUUGUAUAAUAAUCUCGUUCACUAGAUCGAUCUAUCUUCCGUUGCGGAAUAACCUUCGCUUUGGCGAUCUUUUGUUCGGUUUUAAGCCGAUUUUUGUUGUGUUAACGAUUCAAAUCAGAGCCUUUUUUAAUGGCGUUCUUCUUCUAUCUCUGAAUUUGAAUUGUUUAGUAAUCUCUCUCAAUUCUGGUCCUCCUUUCUUUGCUGAGUUAAUUAUUCCAGUUGAUUUUAGGGGAUCUAAAUCUUUUCGUUAGUCAUGCUUAAUCUCUUGCUAAGCAGAGGAAUCAAUCUUCGUUUUAUAUGGCGAAGUCUCCUUGCAAGUAAGAAAUUGAGAUUGUUGAUUCAGCUAUGGUGGUUUGAUGCGUAAUCAGAUAAGCUGGAGUUUUCUCUUUAGAAAGCGUUUUAGCAAGAUUUGUAUCUUCCUCCUUGAUGCUGCUCACUGGUUAUAAUCUCUAAUGAGGAGAUGAAGACUUUCUUAAGAUUAAUGGCGAUAUAGGAAAGGGGAGCAGGCAAGCGGUUCAAACUUGGCGGAGAAGGAGGUCGACGGUGAUCGGUCCGGUGGAAGUUCCGACGAAGCUGUCUGUUUCUUCUCCAUUGACUCCAGAGACUUCGAUGCUCCAACCAAGACGCACGUGUCAUACAUGCGUAAUUCGAUAGACAUAUGGUGGAACACGUGUUUUCUUUUUAUAAACCUAAUCUGUAUAUGUUGGGUAUCAAUUGGGCUUUAAGUUUAUGUAUGGGGAUGGAGUUUGAAUCUCUUGUAAUGUUUAGGCCUUUGGCCCAUCAAUAUAUACAGUUGACAAAAAAAAAAAAAAAAACGUUUCAAGCUUUGGUUGACCACCUUAGAGAGCAGUUUCGCUAGAUAUUAUGAUCCCAUCUUGCUGGCUAAGUGACCGUAGUUAGGAUUAGUGUCAUAAUAUACCCACUCUUUUCUUCUUGCAAGCAUCAUCAUGUCCACUCUUAUUAUUUUCUGCUUGCCAACGGCUGACGAUUUCAACCCUUGCGGCAUAUAUGAUAAUUUCUCGAGAAUCUUAUUAAGGCACGCAUUACUUUAUGUUAGGAACAUAUUUUCUAGAAGAACAUGUACACACAAUAUUGAUUUGGUUACUGUUAUUAUCCCAAUGUUAGCAUAUUGGAAAUAACAAAUGUCAUGUAUGGCUCAAAAGUUAAAAUAUAUCAUAUCAUGUGAAACAAAAAAUGGCAGAGGUGCUUGCUCCUAAAUGAGUUAAGUUUCUUUGUCCAUUAAAUCUAAUGUAUUGAACCCAAUCUAUGAUUUGUUAGCCUCAGCAUCAUUUGAAUCAUUAUUUGCUUUGGAGAAAAUGUAUUUGUUUUCUAGAAACCAAUGAAUUCAAUAAAUAAACAUAAGAAGUAAGAAUAAUCCAUAGUUAGUGUAUAUAAUUCAAUCAGCUGUCAUUCUAAAAAUCUAUAUACUAAAUACUAUCAUAAAACAAAUUCAUGAUUUCUAACAAAAAUAACAAAAUAAAAUAUACUUACAUUUUCAAAUACUCAUUCAAAUAAUAAUUUUUUUAAUUUAGUAUCCCGCCCGUAUGACGGAUUUACUCUAGUGAUACUAUAUUAAUGGGUUUCAUGAUAUUCCAACUUAAAAUCAAUUGGUGGUAAUUAGAUUUACUCAAGUCUCGUAUAUAUUAUAUAAGUCAUUUUCAUAUUUCCAAUGCGAGAUUUUCUCUACGACACCGUUCGAGACAAUGGCGCAUAUAACUAUCAAUUUCUACAAAAUCCAUCAUACCCUUUAUAAAAUAAUGUUUUUAACUGUUUCGAUAAAAUUGAAUUUUCUUCAGACUAUCAAUUAGUGGAUGAUUGUACCACUUUCUAGAUUGGAUUAAUGGGUUAGGAUUUGCGCGUGCUCUGAUACUAAUUAAAUUUCUUGAGUUUCCAAUUCUAAACCAUUUUACACUUAACGGAUUAGAUUAAAUCAUUUAUAUAUUAUUUAAAUCUUUUUCAUAUUUUCAGUGUAAGCUCUUCUCUUCAACAUAUUGGAAUAUGAAUGGGCAGUAGUACCAUGACAAAAAAACGAAUAAAACACAAAACGUGAAAAAAAUGUGUAUAUACGACAGUCGUAAGCAAUCGAUUGAUGCAUUAAAUAAAAUCCAUGUCAACAUUUUAUAAUUGUUUCUAGAUGAAAGAUACAUCACCCUCAAAAAGCAGACAUUUUCCCUUUUCAAUUAAGAGUACCCCAUGAUUAGGCCCAUGAUCAACAGAAAUCAAAUGAAACAGCAUCCUGAUGUCCGAAUGAUUUUCCGAAUGAUAAAACAAUUUAACACAUACAUUAUGAUGACGAUACAUUCACUUUAUGAUAUUUUAUACGUUAAGACGUAAUAAAUAUGAAAGAUGCAUUAAAUCUUGUAUUAUGUAUUUUUAUAUCAUUUACAUAUAGAUAUUUUUGGGGAGUAAAAGAAGAAAGAAAAGUCGUAUAGAAGUGAAAGUCAAAUGGGUCUGACUGUAUGUCACAAGUGGCGUUAUAUUUUCAGCAAAAAAUACAUUUACUCUCACUCCAGCUAUUAUCAUACCAAUCAGGUUGAAAACUUUCCAUCUAUCUUUUCGCUAGUUACUGGUUAAUCAGAAUAAAAUUGUUUAUUUUGUUCUUCUUGUCUAUGUGAAGAAAAACUGGUGUUACGCUGAAAAUGAAAUUUUCCUUUUUUUUUUUAAUGUUAUUUUACUCUACUAGUGUUACUCUCAAUUUCUCUAUAUUAAUUACUCCCAGUUACUUUUGUAGUUACCAAUCACACGCAUUGUGGUUGUAUAAUAAUCUCGUUCACUAGAUCGAUCUAUCUUCCGUUGCGGAAUAACCUUCGCUUUGGCGAUCUUUUGUUCGGUUUUAAGCCGAUUUUUGUUGUGUUAACGAUUCAAAUCAGAGCCUUUUUUAAUGGCGUUCUUCUUCUAUCUCUGAAUUUGAAUUGUUUAGUAAUCUCUCUCAAUUCUGGUCCUCCUUUCUUUGCUGAGUUAAUUAUUCCAGUUGAUUUUAGGGGAUCUAAAUCUUUUCGUUAGUCAUGCUUAAUCUCUUGCUAAGCAGAGGAAUCAAUCUUCGUUUUAUAUGGCGAAGUCUCCUUGCAAGUAAGAAAUUGAGAUUGUUGAUUCAGCUAUGGUGGUUUGAUGCGUAAUCAGAUAAGCUGGAGUUUUCUCUUUAGAAAGCGUUUUAGCAAGAUUUGUAUCUUCCUCCUUGAUGCUGCUCACUGGUUAUAAUCUCUAAUGAGGAGAUGAAGACUUUCUUAAGAUUAAUGGCGAUAUAGGAAAGGGGAGCAGGCAAGCGGUUCAAACUUGGCGGAGAAGGAGGUCGACGGUGAUCGGUCCGGUGGAAGUUCCGACGAAGCUGUCUGUUUCUUCUCCAUUGACUCCAGAGACUUCGAUGCUCCAACCAAGACGCACGUGUCAUACAUGCGUAAUUCGAUAGACAUAUGGUGGAACACGUGUUUUCUUUUUAUAAACCUAAUCUGUAUAUGUUGGGUAUCAAUUGGGCUUUAAGUUUAUGUAUGGGGAUGGAGUUUGAAUCUCUUGUAAUGUUUAGGCCUUUGGCCCAUCAAUAUAUACAGUUGACAAAAAAAAAAAAAAAAACGUUUCAAGCUUUGGUUGACCACCUUAGAGAGCAGUUUCGCUAGAUAUUAUG